ACUACCGGGCCGAAGUCGGGUCUUCUCAAAACGGCAUAUCGUCUCAAGUCCAUCUUCUUCCCCCGAAGCAGCUCAGCUCGAUCAGCCCCAGAAACCUAAAACCUCCCAGUUUUCUUCUUCGUCUUCUUCUUACUUUGUUCUAGAAAUUCAAUCUUCAACACCAACAACGGUUUCUGAUUCGUCGCCUCAGAGUCGAAGCAGCAAGGUCUGUUAAGUGAGGUACUUUCAGCAGCGGCUGGAGUUACUAGAGAUAAGACAAUGGAUUUUGAUGAGUAUGAGUAUCUGGAGAAGACAGUAGAGAACCCGGAAUUAGAGAAAGUGAAAGAGGUUACCAAUGGCCGUGAAACAAAGACCGACAUCGGAGUUCUAAGCAUAGAAGUGGUGAUAAUGAGCAUGACGCUGAUCAUUCCUUGAAGCGGUCAAUCCGAAAUGUCUCAGCGUUGUUUAUUUUAAUGAAUUUGCACUUGGGGCUGCAAUGUAAGUUCAACGGGAUAUAUUAUGUACCCCAUACACAUAUAUACGCAUAAAGCCACUUGGUUUCCAAA